rnacentral:tRNA from 1 species
GCGGGCGUGGCGGAAUCGGUAGACGCGCCAGACUUAAAAUCUGUUGGGGUUCGCCCCGUGCCGGUUCAAGUCCGGCCGCCCGCACCA